UACGAAGGGGGCGAGCGUUGUUCGGAUUUACUGGGCGUAAAGGGCGCGCAGGCGGCUCUGGAAGUCAGAUGUGAAAGCCCAGGGCUCAACUCCGGAAUUGCCAUUGAAACUGUUGAACUCGAGGACGAGAGAGGUGAGUGGAAUUCCCAGUGUAGAGGUGAAAUUCGUAGAUAUUGGGAAGAACACCGGUGGCGAAGGCGGCUCACUGGCUCGUUUCUGACGCUCAGGCGCGACAGCGUGGGGAUCAAACAGG
rnacentral:rRNA from 1 species